rnacentral:snRNA from 1 species
GUGCUCGCUUCGGCAGCACAUAUACUAAAAUUGGAAUGAUACAGAGAAGAUUAGCAAGGCCCCUGAGUAAGAAGGAC